GACGAACGCUGGCGGCGUGCCUAAUACAUGCAAGUCGAGCGGACAGAAGGGAGCUUGCUCCCGGAAGUUAGCGGCGGACGGGUGAGUAACACGUGGGCAACCUACCCUGUAGAUCGGGAUAACAUCGAGAAAUCGGUGCUAAUACCGGAUAAUCAUUUGAAGUGCAUGCUUCGAAUGUAAAAGAUGGCUCCGGCUAUCACUACGGGAUGGGCCCGCGGCGCAUUAGCUAGUUGGUAAGGUAAUGGCUUACCAAGGCAACGAUCCGUAGCCGACCUGAGAGGGUGAUCGGCCACACUGGGACUGGAACACGGCCCAGACUCCUACGGGAAGCAGCAGUAGGGAAUCUGCCGCAAUGGACGGAAGUCUGACGGAGCAACGCCGCAUGAGUGAUGACGGUUUUCGGAUCGUAAAGCUCUGUUGUUAGGGAAGAACAAGUGCCGUUUGAAUAAGGCGGCACCUUGACGGUACCUAACCAGAAAGCCACGGCUAACUACGUGCCAGCCGCCGCAGUAACAC
rnacentral:rRNA from 1 species